rnacentral:lncRNA from 1 species
GCAGGGGGUUGGACUGGAUGGCCCAUGAGGUCUCUUCCAACUCUAAUAUUCUAUGAUUCUAUGAUUCUAGGAGUGAGAUCGUGUGUGGACUUCGUAACCCCAGUUCCUUGCUUCCCGGAUCAAGAAUUCAAGUACUGCCUUGCCUUGCUGUUAACCACGGACCUUGUUCCAAGAUUCACUGUUUGCCUUGUUCUAAGAUUCACUGUUUGCCUUGUACCUAGUCACGGACCUUGUUAAAGAACCAAGAUUAUUUCCAGCCUUGUUGUCAAGCUUCCUUGGACUCCUAAGACUCUGUCAUUUCCCCACACGAUUGCUUGGCAGUAGUGUGUGUUUCGGUAUUGGAUUUAAACUUUGAACUCUAAUAUCAUUUAUUGGACAAUACAUUUUGGACUAAUUUUGACCUCAUUUGAAAGGUCUGCUUCUGAACUAUAUUCUUCACUUGUUUUUAUUACUUUUAUAUAUUUCCUUAAUAAAGAUAUUAGAUAGAGAUUGGCCUCCGUGUAUGGUUCUUGGUGCCCUGCUGCCAGGGGUCUGACAGGGGAACACCAGCUUCCAAAUCAUUGGUUUGGGGCUACUGCAGGGCUUUGGUAGAGAUCCAAAUAAUGAUCUUGUGGCAAAAAGGCUAAGGUGGGUAUCAAGUUACCCAAGGAAAGGAUUUUGAGGAACCAGCCUGAUGCCAAUACCAAACCUCCUAUUUGAUUCUCUUUCCCACUUCUACCCUGAUAUAGUUUUCCAUAUGCUAAUUCCACAAACGUAAUAUAAGUUUUUGGCUUAUACCCUAUGGCUAGUUGCCAUAGUGACAAAGGACAACAAAGGUAAGGAUGGCUGAGUCCCACUGCAACAGAGGGAUAGAAGUGGGUAGAGUAGCCAUCCCAGAGGCUGACCAGAGUAUUGCUACUCUGUGGUUUGUAUAGAUGAGGCCAUAGUACAGUGGUUCUCAACAUGUGGGUCCCCAGAUGUUAUGGCCUUCAACUCCCAGAAAUCUUAACAGCUGCUAAACUGGCUGGGAUUUCUGGGAGUUGCAAGCCAAAACACCUGGGGACCCACAGGUUGAGAACCACUGCCUUAGCAGAAGAGAGGAUGGAGCCUUUUAAAGUUUCUACAAAGCCAAAGAAAACUUUAAUAACAAGACUAUGAAAAAUGCCAUUGCUUCAGUCAACGUGAGUGAUUCUCAGUGGAAAGGUGCUGUGUGGAAUUUAUUUUUAAGUCUCUCUGACUGUUCAUCAUUACCAGGUAAGAGGUAUUUCUAUGCAGAUAAUACAUCCUCUCUUCCUCCCACCCCAAAUAUUUAACAAAAGUUAAAGAAACUGAUCAUGAAUUCAGACCCAGAGGAAUAGAUAAUGAGAAGUGCACCUAUUUUUUUUAAUAAUCUGAAUGCUUCUUAACAUCUGUAAUCAAAGCCAUACAUUUUCAUUGGGGGGACAUACAAAAUGUAAACGAAACCUUUAACUCCCAAGAUCAAUUGCAGCCUGAAGACAGGCUCGAGGGUUGGGAGACACAGUCCGUCUUGUCAGAACCC